rnacentral:rRNA from 1 species
UACGUAGGUGGCGAGCGUUGUCCGGAAUUAUUGGGCGUAAAGAGCAUGUAGGCGGCUUAAUAAGUCGAGCGUGAAAAUGCGGGGCUCAACCCCGUAUGGCGCUGGAAACUGUUAGGCUUGAGUGCAGGAGAGGAAAGGGGAAUUCCCAGUGUAGCGGUGAAGUGCGUAGAUAUUGGGAGGAACACCAGUGGCGAAGGCGCCUUUCUGGACUGUGUCUGACGCUGAGAUGCGAAAGCCAGGGUAGCGAACGGG